UGUUUCGUUUCUGUCAUUUACGUGGAACAGCUUUUUAAUCUGCUGAUCUUUUUUUUUCUUCUAAUUAGUGGAAUGUCACUGACUUUUAAAAAAAAGGGGGGGGGGGAGUACGGUGGAAAAAAAACUAGAGUUUCUAUAAAUCUCUACAAUUUCCAUGUAGGCCUAUAUAGAUCUAUGUUGGAAACAAAACAAAGUCAAAAAUUAUUUUUUAACACACUAGAUUGAGUCCUAAUGAAUAGACUCAAGAUCAAGAUCUUUAGGCAUCACUGGGACGAGGUUGGAUGUGGGACAAGAUACCCUCUCAAUUUAUAUAAGCAAUAACAAAAUGUUUUAAAAGCUGUAAGACCAGUAAACGUUGUUUUUUUUCAUUUGGAUCUAGGAACUAACAAUCGUUACCAACCGUUCCUAUUUCAUGACAUUCCUUUACACAAAUGCUUUAUAUCACAUUGCAAUAAAUAACCUCGAAGUAAAAAAUCAUCUUUUGUAGAAACAAAGCUUAUAAAAGGGAAAGGGGAAGAAAUGCAAAAUCACUGCCACAUAUGUCAAUGAUGCAGGAAGGAGGUCUCUUUUUCUAUAUAAAAUAAAAUAAAUUAUCAAUAAGUGAUUAACUAAUUGUUUUUGUUUUUUUUUUACUGAUUUAUGUAUCGCAUCGACUGUAACUAAUUAUUCGAAAUUUCAACUUAGUCGGAGAAUGGGAAGUGGAAAAAUAACGUGUACAAAACAAAAUAAGGGAUAACUCCAGCUAUAGCCACAUCUCUCAAUAUGUAGCAUUUAUUUUCCUUAUUCGAUACAGUACGAGAAUAAUUAAUUUCCAAGAAUUAAUUAAAUAAUUGGUUAAUUUUUUGAUUCAUAUUUUGUUAGGUACAACAAAUAAUUGUAAAGUUUAACUUAACCCAAAAAAUGGGUGUGGGAAAAAUAACGUGUACAAAAUUGUACCAGAUCGAGAGACAGAAAGGGCAAAGUUGAUAUAGGCCUAAGCUUUGUAAACAUUGCUAACAUUAAAGAGAAAUGUAAAAUAUUUGUUCAAGACAGUAAAGUAAUGGGAAAAAAAGAAUAAUUAUUAGCAUUCCAUCAUAUUAUUUUCUUGUUUCCUUUUCAUCUGUCUAUUAAUUUCAACGACCUGUCAUUCUGUAUACUUUGUAGUUCUAUAUCUGUUUUGUCCAUUUCCACAGCAACUAUAUCAUCUACACAUGUUCAUUAUUACACACACACACACACACAAGACGUCGAUGAGAUUUGUAUGAACGUCUUUCAAAACGAGAUGAUUAAUGAUAAUUGGAUUUGGAGCUGUUGGGAUAUAGAGUAGCCUACGUUUAUGUACUUUCGGCGUAUUUAGGGUAGACUAAUAUAUUAACAAAGUAGAAUAAGUAGAUCCACAGGUUAGGUUAGAGUUUCUGUUAGGGUCUAUUUAUAAUUUUGUUUUCACGUGAGAUGUUCUACAUCAGCACAAAUGUUACUGAAUUGAAAAAAAAAAAAACAGAUACACCUAAAUCUGAGUGGUGGCCACUAGGAGUGUUAACAAACUAGGGCCAAAAGUGAACACAAUCGUAGCUUAUUAAUAUUCCACGUGAGCCUAUCUCUGCCUCUCCUAAAUUACAUACAGUCUAAAAUUAGCUGACUGGAUAGAAGGGGAAAAAAGCUAAACAGUACACUUUAUAAAGUCGGCUAGUCUACACCGGAGAUGACAACUAUGCAGUGGAUGUCGCCUAGAAUCAAUAAUUGUGUUGACUUUUCCUUACUAACCGCUUAGGAAUGUUUGCUAAGUUAGCAGCACAAUCCUAUUUGCAGUCUGGUAUUGUAACUUGCAUGUGUUUAGUUUUUAUACUGCUGCAAUUCAUAUGCAGAUAUCUAAAGCAUACGUCACGACUUCCUCUCAAUACAAACACACGCACAAUGUACAGAGACUCACGGACUGAGACAAAAUAAGAGUCAAUAUUAUACUUGGUCACAUUGCUCUUGACCAGGAGCACUUAUACUUCUAACGUCCAUAAAGGACGUCUGUAACCUAGAUUACAUUUUGUACAAGAUUAGACUUUGAUUACACUUUGUUAAAGGUUUUACUUUGUCAAGUUCUUGCAUAUAUUUGUUAUCACCAGUCAGGAUAUCCUUAAAUAGCUCAAGAUGACCUAAUUAUGCUACGUCUGUAGUUCAGGUCAAAUAAAUUAAAAAUCGAUUUGUUUUGAACUAACAGAGGACACAUAUUUAUUUUUUGUUUUUGUUUUUGUUAGUCACAAGUAGUUUCGCUAUGUCUAAGGUGGUAUAGUUAUUGACUGUCUGAAGGUGACCAAUAGUUUAAGUCUCGCUGCUUCAAGUAAUUAAUGCUUCUCUAUUAACUACAAUGGACUUAAAUAUAGGUACUUUUUUUUUUUUAACUAAUGAACAUGUUACACAAGUGUAAGGUUUCAUAGCUUGUACUAAUUGGGGAAACAGUUAUUGUUCCUGGAAGUACGUAUCGUUAACAAGUCAUAUGUGCAUUAGAAAGAGGAGGGGAUAAGUCAGAGAUAAGGCGCGUUUCUUACUGCUAGGACUGAUUCGUGCAAUAACUUUUUUUUGGGGGGUAAACAUUGCAUUCUUAAUAUGCAAUCGGUUGCCUGAAUCGAAACCAAUCGUUAGCGAAUGCCUCAACACUGACCUGCAACGUCAGAGCCUGUGUGCAGUUUAGACCAGUAUCUCGUUGCCACGUCACAGGCCUUUUCGACGUGGCAACGAGCUAUUGGUCUGAACUGCCCAAAGGCUGUGAUGUUACAGACCAGUGUAUAGGCAUUCUCUAACGAUUGGUCUAGCCCGAAUUCACUAUUGAAACCAUUGAAUCACCAUAACAAUUAGUAGAGUUCAAGUGACUGAGUAACGUGCACGACUUGUUUGACACAUAAAAUGUGUAGGACGUAAUUUUCUUUUUUGAAGUAACGUCUGUAAUCUAUAAGAUUCUCUAAUAAUGGCUAGGUUAUCAUAAACACAUGUAUGAUUGAUGUAAUAGCCUUCAGUUGAUGUUAGGCCUAUAAUCAAACUGUAUAUUACACAAUUGUACGUCCCACGCUGAGAACAAACUUUAGUGUUAUAGGCUAUGUGUUUCUUAACUUGAUAGUAAACAAGAACUUAAGAUUGAGUAACCUGUUAUGUUGACUUACGUUUGUACUGUCUCUGACACCAAGAAAAUAGGGAGGACCCCUACUCAAUAGAUUACAUAUUAUAGAUACCGGUAUAUAGAACAGUAGAACUAAUUGAUUGUUGCUACCCUUCGAUUCUUUCAAGCCAACAAAUAAAGAACAGGAAGUUAAAUUUCAAUGUUCACUUCACAAUUUGAUCGAUCAAAGGAUAUAGUCUUUAUUUUCUUAAUGUCAGUAUGCAGCACUUUAUAACUUUCUAAUAACGCGAAUUCAUUUUUUGGCCUACAUUUUCUCCCUCCCUUAAACUGAAAGGAACUGUUUUCCUACCGUACUACCUCUGCAAAAUUGGGCCUAAUUUCUCUACAAUCUUGCUUUACUGUUUUCAUACCGGACUACCUCUGCUAAAUUACUUUCUCUGACCAGCUUUCUUUAGUUUUCUUACCGUACUAGCUCUGCUAAAUUAUUUUCUUUCACCAGCAUUCUUUACUGUUUUCUUUCUGCAAUACCUUUGCAAAAUGACUUGUGGCUUUUAGAGGUAAAAAAAAAAACAUUGCCUGGAGGUAGAUCUAGAUUCUAAGUACUAAUAGAUCUAGUAAAUAAACAGCAAUAGUCGUUAAUGUCACAACGCUGGCCUUCGAAACAAUUGAAAGGGUCACAUUUAUGACACUAUUAACGGUAGGACACAGUUCAUGCAGUAGUGUCAACGCAUUAUUUAACUUUAGGGCGUGGUCACUUAAAGGGAGUGUGUAGUCAUGGUAACAUAAUGCAUUCACACUGCACUUUGCUAUGGGUUGGCGCGAAAAAAAAAAGUACAAGUACAUGUACUUUAGGCUCCAUUUCUGCAUUUUUCGCUUUUGUUUUAGUUUGGCCGAUAUCUUUCUCAUGACUCCUUACUUAGAGUCAUUAGACAAAGGCGGAUGAAUUUACACCGAGUUGGUUGAGUGCGGUUUUGUUUACAUAAGUCUCCCCACAGCUACCCUGCCUUACACCCAAUAGUUAGGCCCCUAUAUAUUCGUAUAUAUAUAAAGGUUGAGUGUUUUUUUUUUAUUCUUUACUUUGGUUUUUCCUUUUAAAAAAAUAAUUAGACACUUCUUUUAUACCUUUUUUACCAAGUCUGUCUGAACUUAAAAGGCUAUGAAAUCACACUCCUCUUGCUUGAAAUACUAAGACUUGUAAAAUUUCUCCCAUUUAGUUGUGUUAUGUGUCAGUGACCCUAAGAAAUCUGGGUAGUGGCCUAAUUUAUGUCAAUAGCUUACAAGUGAUGCGUUGUGGGUGUGGUCACGCCCAUUUCUGCCCCGCCCAUGAUAUGAAAUGUUCAUAAUAUAUUGGCAUUGUUUUAUAGUAGACCUAGCCUAUAAAGACAUGUAUCAGUUAUGAAGUGAAUAAUAGACCUCUAUAGAUUUAGUUCUUUAGGGUGUUUUAGGAUAGGCCUAUACGUUAGGACCAACAUAUAGGCCUAGAUCUAGAUCCUGAUGAUAUUUAGAUCAAGUCAGUCCGUUAGUCUCGGUCCGGAUCCGUACUUGUUGGACGUCUGGAGUGGGACUCUCAUGUGACGUGAUUUUUUAAAUGUAGUCAUUGUAAUAUAAAAUAUCUCUGUGCAUUGCUUAGCAAAGAUUAAAACUAUGCGGGUCACAUAGAUGCAGCCUACUCAAUUGCUCACUCGAUUCGCGCAUUACCCUUAAUUGUGUCUAAUAAACGAAAAGACGUGACUUUUGUUUGGGCUCUUUAAAAAAGGGAAUAGAAUGGCCUGAUAGGUCCUCUCUGUCUUGGGAACUUCCGUCUUCUCCCAAGCGCGUUCCCAGAUGGCAGAUAGAUGAAACACCCUUACAUGUAAGGGCUAGCUGUGAAUGUAAAUAUCAAAUCAACAGCCGCUGAUCAGCUGUUUAGCAGUGAUGGAGGAUGAGGUGCGGUAUUUCAGUGGUUAGGAUAUGCCCUUAAAACAUCUCAAACAGCUAGGGAAAGGAUUACAUAAUGUGAGUAUAGGGCGCUUUAACUCUAAACCCCCGAGUAGGUGAAGAACGUUUGCUACAGAUAGAACUAUGAAGACUGUUUUGUCAAAUGUUAUUAACAUGUUUCGGAUGUUCCUUCAGAGUUGAAGAUGAUUUAGGCUACUUCCUAGAGUCCAAAUCUCCCGCAGGACGACGGAGGAUGGGAGCGGGCAGGGUUUGAACCCGGGACCAUCGAUAAAUCCAAACGACAGCCCAAUGCGCAAACCGCACGACCAGGCAGCCAUCUGUCUACGGUACGUGUACGUGUCUUUACAGAAGAGUGGCAGCAAUGAGGAAAAUGCUCGCGUUUUAAAAUUUAUGUAGCUACGCAUUCACGAAAUAAUGGGCAAGACAUACUGCUUUCUUUUGUUAUGUCAUUAUAUUUACCUCAUGGUCUAUUGUUUGGGCAUGUGACAUACUAUAACAAUAGCUGCGCUUUUCAAAAGCAAACAUUGACAUGUCAUGUACUAAAGCCCAACCUACGUGCUCUGUUUAGUCAGUAGGCCUAUAUUUGGAACAGAAGCGGGAAAGGGAGGAAAGCCAUAAAAAUAGAUCUAUGGAAGUACGGUUAAAGAAAAGGUGGAAGUUUGGUUCCUUUAAGCGCGCAUUCAGAAUGUCUCUUUUAAGUAAUCUUUUAACAUGUAGGGCCUACUCCCUCUCCGAUGAAAGCUAUGAAUGAACAAUUUAUUUAUAUAAAGCAUUUCAUUUAGUUAGACCUAUAUGAAGCAAGUGAUAAAUACCAGAAGUAGCUAAAAAAACAAAAUCAAGAGUUCAGACUUAAGGUCUUAACAUUAGAAGUUACGGUAACAAAUAAAAGCAUGGCUUCAGUCUUAGUAUUUAAACACAGACGUGUCAGUGUGGGGAAGGUCUCUCAUUGCCUACAUGUUUACAUAGUCAACCAAGCAAGAAAGUUCACUCUUAGAAAAUACAUAGCCUAAUCUGCUACUCACCCCUUCUAAUAGACAUUCAUACAUUCUCUAGUAAGAUAGAUCUAGGGCAUUCUAGGCCUAGUCAGAAAUGUUCAUUUGCCAUCAGUGCAGAGUGCUCGCUCUCUCUCUCUCCACUAUUUAGUUCAAAAGUCUAUUAUAUAGAGAACGUCUACUAUGACGUUUUUUUUUUCUUAUUACAACUUAGGUUGUGCAAAUUAUUCAUGAGUUAAAAAAUGACUACCCUGAAAUAUGACAGUUGGCUAUAUGUAUAGCUUUGCGGAAAAAAAUAUAUUACUAGUUAAUUGGCCAAACAGGGAAAAAUUCUUGUUAGACCUUUAUAAUUAUUCAAAAUAUAAUCUUCUUAAAAUUAAAUUUAAUAUGGAGGUCUAGACAAUCUAUAUCUUAAAGACCAACUGAAGAGGUUUUUAUCGAAAUUGAGAUAACUAUUGAUUAUGAAAGUAGAUGGUAUCAAAUAUAGUUCCUAAAAAUUUGAGUUAAAAGAAAUACAUAUUUAUACUAGAUAAAGUCAUUUGGAAGUGUAAAAAAAUUAACGAGAUUUGAAAUGGCUCUGUCAUGGCCGAAAGCGGAAGUGACGUUAUAGUAUGGAAAUCACGGGAAACUGUCGAGCUCAAGACACUAGAUCUAGCUAGACCGCCUAGAGGAGUCUAGAUCUUGUUUUUUGUUAUUAAGACCAACUUAACGUAGACAAUUUAGUCUUAUUACUAGAUUAAACCUGACAUUGGCUAAAAGAUGAUCUGAUGCGUCCAACAGUGGAUGGCUGCCUGAUUGUGUGUUAUGCCAGCUGGACUGUUAUUUUAUAAGACUGUUGAGCAUCUUUUACUUGCAAAUCUAAAAGCUGAUGCUAUGACACUCAAUGGCUUAGAAGAAAUUCUGUCAGUUUUAUAUGGUUAUGACAAUAAUCUUUAAUAAAUAAGUCUUAUACAAGGACAAUAAAGAUUAUUAUUAUUAUUA